rnacentral:piRNA from 1 species
UUUUAAUAAGUUGUCUAAAUC